rnacentral:snRNA from 9 species
GUCUACCUAGCAUCUCCCACUGAGGAGAGUGCACGUCAUAAUUUGUGGCAGUGGAGGCUCGCAUUCGCGCGGCCUCCAC